rnacentral:misc_RNA from 1 species
GAGAAGAACGCAGCGAAAUGCGAUAAGUAAUGUGAAUUGCAGAAUUCAGUGAAUCAUCGAAUCUUUGAACGCACAUUGCGCCCGCCAGUAUUCUGGCGGGCAUGCCUGUUCGAGCGUCAUUUCAACCCUCAGGCCCCCAGUGCCUGGCGUUGGGGAUCGGCGCGGCGCCCUCCGGGGCGCUGCCGGCCCCGAAAUUCAGUGGCGGUCUCGCUGUAGCCCUCCUCCGCGUAGUAGCACAACCUCGCGGCCUGGAGCUCGGCGGUGGCCAUGCCGUAAAACACCCCACUUCUGAAAGUUGACCUCGGAUCAGGUAGGAAUACCCGCUGAACUUAAGCAUAUCAAUAAGCGGAGGA